CCUACGGGUGGCAGCAGUGAGGAAUAUUGGUCAAUGGACGAGAGUCUGAACCAGCCAAGUAGCGUGAAGGAUGACUGCGCUAAGGGUUGUAAACUUCUUUUAUAUGGGAAUAAAAUGUUCCACGUGUGGGUUUUUGUAUGUACUAUAUGAAUAAGGAUCGGCUAACUCCGUGCCAGCAGCCGCGGUAAUACGGAGGAUCCGAGCGUUAUCCGGAUUUAUUGGGUUUAAAGGGUGCGUAGGUGGAUUGUUAAGUCAGUUGUGAAAGUCUGCGGCUCAACCGUAAAAGUGCAGUUGAAACUGGCAGUCUUGAGUACAGUAGAGGUGGGCGGAAUUCGUGGUGUAGCGGUGAAAUGCUUAGAUAUCACGAAGAACUCCGAUUGCGAAGGCAGCUCACUGGACUGCAUCUGACACUGAGGCACGAAAGUGUGGGUAUCGAACAGGAUUAGAUACCCGAGUAGUC
rnacentral:rRNA from 1 species